GUCAUUCAAUGAGACGCCAAGACUACACUGGCACAAAACAUUGAUUCUGAGCACUGUUAUGUUGUUGCCAAUACAAAUUGGAGGAAAAACAUCUCUACCAGUAGCCACCUCAGGGCAGAUAAUAUACAUCUUAUGUCUACUGUUCUUACACCUGCAAUCCCACUCUUACUCCAGAGUCUUCCAGAAGCCCAGCUCCGCUUUUCCAUUUGCCGCUUGAAUCCAUGCUGCUGUCGUACUCAUCUGGCUUUUUAAGGUCAUCAGUUCCACACCAGUCUGUCUCACAGUGCUUCUCGGAAUCUGUCUUGAACUAAACAAAAAAGCACAGUCUUUUGAAGAGAAGGAUUCCACCAUGCAGCCUCGGCCCUCCACAGAGUGAGUAC